GACGAACGCUGGCGGCGUGCUUAACACAUGCAAGUCGAACGGAAAGGCCCUGCUUUUGUGGGGUGCUCGAGUGGCGAACGGGUGAGUAACACGUGAGUAACCUGCCCUUGACUUUGGGAUAACUUCAGGAAACUGGGGCUAAUACCGGAUAGGAGCUCCUGCUGCAUGGUGGGGGUUGGAAAGUUUCGGCGGUUGGGGAUGGACUCGCGGCUUAUCAGCUUGUUGGUGGGGUAGUGGCUUACCAAGGCUUUGACGGGUAGCCGGCCUGAGAGGGUGACCGGCCACAAUGGGACUGAGAUACGGACCAGACGCCUACGGGAGGCAGCAGUGGGGAGUAUUGCACAAUGGGCGGAAGCCUGAUGCAGCAACGCCGCGUGCGGGAUGACGGCCUUCGGGUUGUAAACCGCUUUCGCCGGAGACGAAGCGUGAGUGACGGUAAUGGGUAAAGAAGCACCGGCUAACUACGUG
rnacentral:rRNA from 1 species